CCUACGGGUGGCAGCAGUGAGGAAUAUUGGUCAAUGGGCGCGAGCCUGAACCAGCCAAGUAGCGUGAAGGAUGACUGCCCUACGGGUUGUAAACUUCUUUUAUAAAGGAAUAAAGUGAGGCACGUGUGCCUUUUUGUAUGUACUUUAUGAAUAAGGAUCGGCUAACUCCGUGCCAGCAGCCGCGGUAAUACGGAGGAUCCGGGCGUUAUCCGGAUGUAAUGGGUGUAAAGGGGGCGGAGACGGUGAUGCAAGUAUGUCGUGCAAGUCGGGGGCCCAAACCCCGGACUGCGGUUGAAACGGGCCGUCUGGAGUUGAAGAGAGGUAUGUGGAAUGCGUGGUGUAGCGGUGAAAUGUUUAGAUAUCACGAAGAACUCCGAUUGCGAAGGCAGCAUGCUGGACUGUAACUGACGCUGAUGCACGAAAGUGUGGGUAUCAAACAGGAUUAGAUACCCUAGUAGUC
rnacentral:rRNA from 1 species